ACUUAAAUUGAAGAGUUUGAUCAUGGCUCAGAUUGAACGCUGGCGGCAGGCCUAACACAUGCAAGUCGAGCGGUAGCACAGAGAGCUUGCUCUCGGGUGACGAGCGGCGGACGGGUGAGUAAUGUCUGGGAAACUGCCUGAUGGAGGGGGAUAACUACUGGAAACGGUAGCUAAUACCGCAUAAUGUCGCAAGACCAAAGUGGGGGACCUUCGGGCCUCAUGCCAUCAGAUGUGCCCAGAUGGGAUUAGCUAGUAGGUGGGGUAACGGCUCACCUAGGCGACGAUCCCUAGCUGGUCUGAGAGGAUGACCAGCCACACUGGAACUGAGACACGGUCCAGACUCCUACGGGAGGCAGCAGUGGGGAAUAUUGCACAAUGGGCGCAAGCCUGAUGCAGCCAUGCCGCGUGUGUGAAGAAGGCCUUCGGGUUGUAAAGCACUUUCAGCGGGGAGGAAGGCGAUAAGGUUAAUAACCUUGGCGAUUGACGUUACCCGCAGAAGAAGCACCGGCUAACUCCGUGCCAGCAGCCGCGGUAAUACGGAGGGUGCAAGCGUUAAUCGGAAUUACUGGGCGUAAAGCGCACGCAGGCGGUCUGUCAAGUCGGAUGUGAAAUCCCCGGGCUCAACCUGGGAACUGCAUUCGAAACUGGCAGGCUAGAGUCUUGUAGAGGGGGGUAGAAUUCCAGGUGUAGCGGUGAAAUGCGUAGAGAUCUGGAGGAAUACCGGUGGCGAAGGCGGCCCCCUGGACAAAGACUGACGCUCAGGUGCGAAAGCGUGGGGAGCAAACAGGAUUAGAUACCCUGGUAGUCCACGCCGUAAACGAUGUCGAUUUGGAGGUUGUGCCCUUGAGGCGUGGCUUCCGGAGCUAACGCGUUAAAUCGACCGCCUGGGGAGUACGGCCGCAAGGUUAAAACUCAAAUGAAUUGACGGGGGCCCGCACAAGCGGUGGAGCAUGUGGUUUAAUUCGAUGCAACGCGAAGAACCUUACCUGGUCUUGACAUCCACAGAACUUUCCAGAGAUGGAUUGGUGCCUUCGGGAACUGUGAGACAGGUGCUGCAUGGCUGUCGUCAGCUCGUGUUGUGAAAUGUUGGGUUAAGUCCCGCAACGAGCGCAACCCUUAUCCUUUGUUGCCAGCGGU
rnacentral:rRNA from 1 species